ensembl:snoRNA
AUCCUCGCUAGUGAUGAAGCCUGUGUUGGUAGGGACAUCUGACAUGGCUGAUGAAUGCCAACGACUCUGAUGGCGUAGGAU